rnacentral:rRNA from 1 species
UACGUAGGCAGCAAGCGUUGUUCGGAGUUACUGGGCGUAAAGGGUGCGUAGGCGGCUUUUUAAGUUUGGUGUGAAAUCUCCCGGCUCAACUGGGAGGGUGCGCCGAAUACUGAGAAGCUAGAGUGUGGGAGAGGAAAGUGGAAUUCCUGGUGUAGCGGUGAAAUGCGUAGAUAUCAGGAGGAACACCUGUGGUGUAGACAGCUUACUGGACCACGACUGACGCUGAGACACGAAAGCGUGGGUAGCAAACAGG